rnacentral:rRNA from 2 species
AGAGUUUGAUCCUGGCUCAGAGUGAACGCUGGCGGCGUGCCUAAUACAUGCAAGUCGAACGAUGAAAUUUCUAGCUUGCUAGAAGUGGAUUAGUGGCGCACGGGUGAGUAACGCAUAGGUUAUGUGCCUCUUAGUUUGGGAUAGCCAUUGGAAACGAUGAUUAAUACCAGAUACUCCCUACGGGGGAAAGAUUUAUCGCUAAGAGAUCAGCCUAUGUCCUAUCAGCUUGUUGGUAAGGUAAUGGCUUACCAAGGCUAUGACGGGUAUCCGGCCUGAGAGGGUGAACGGACACACUGGAACUGAGACACGGUCCAGACUCCUACGGGAGGCAGCAGUAGGGAAUAUUGCUCAAUGGGGGAAACCCUGAAGCAGCAACGCCGCGUGGAGGAUGAAGGUUUUAGGAUUGUAAACUCCUUUUGUUAGAGAAGAUAAUGACGGUAUCUAACGAAUAAGCACCGGCUAACUCCGUGCCAGCAGCCGCGGUAAUACGGAGGGUGCAAGCGUUACUCGGAAUCACUGGGCGUAAAGAGCGCGUAGGCGGGAUAGUCAGUCAGGUGUGAAAUCCUAUGGCUUAACCAUAGAACUGCAUUUGAAACUACUAUUCUAGAGUGUGGGAGAGGUAGGUGGAAUUCUUGGUGUAGGGGUAAAAUCCGUAGAGAUCAAGAGGAAUACUCAUUGCGAAGGCGACCUGCUGGAACAUUACUGACGCUGAUUGCGCGAAAGCGUGGGGAGCAAACAGGAUUAGAUACCCUGGUAGUCCACGCCCUAAACGAUGGAUGCUAGUUGUUGGAGGGCUUAGUCUCUCCAGUAAUGCAGCUAACGCAUUAAGCAUCCCGCCUGGGGAGUACGGUCGCAAGAUUAAAACUCAAAGGAAUAGACGGGGACCCGCACAAGCGGUGGAGCAUGUGGUUUAAUUCGAAGAUACACGAAGAACCUUACCUAGGCUUGACAUUGAGAGAAUCCGCUAGAAAUAGUGGAGUGUCUGGCUUGCUAGACCUUGAAAACAGGUGCUGCACGGCUGUCGUCAGCUCGUGUCGUGAGAUGUUGGGUUAAGUCCCGCAACGAGCGCAACCCCCUUUCUUAGUUGCUAACAGGUCAUGCUGAGAACUCUAAGGAUACUGCCUCCGUAAGGAGGAGGAAGGUGGGGACGACGUCAAGUCAUCAUGGCCCUUACGCCUAGGGCUACACACGUGCUACAAUGGGGUGCACAAAGAGAAGCAAUACUGCGAAGUGGAGCCAAUCUUCAAAACACCUCUCAGUUCGGAUUGUAGGCUGCAACUCGCCUGCAUGAAGCUGGAAUCGCUAGUAAUCGCAAAUCAGCCAUGUUGCGGUGAAUACGUUCCCGGGUCUUGUACUCACCGCCCGUCACACCAUGGGAGUUGUGUUUGCCUUAAGUCAGGAUGCUAAACCAGCUACUGCCCACGGCACACACAGCGACUGGGGUGAAGUCGUAACAAGGUAACCGUAGGUGAACCUGCGGUUG